GAAACCAACUCGCUUGGGAGAGCGCAUCGCUGGCAGCGAUGAGGUCAGGGGUUCGAUCCCCCUAGGCUCCA
rnacentral:tRNA from 1 species